rnacentral:lncRNA from 1 species
GGUAGUAUAUUUUGUUUAUAAAUUUAACUUAUUUUAUGAGUUUGAUACAACUUUGAAUGAUAAGUUGUCAUAUAAAUAAUUAUAGGUUGAUAAUAAAAAAAAUAGAUAUGAUAUUUAAAAAAAUUCAAAAAAACAUCUGUGGUUAAAAAACCGAUGUUGUUAGUGAUAAAUAAUAUCGAUUUUUAUAAAAAUCAAUGUUUUUUUUCGUAAAACAAUAUCAAUUUUUAAACAAUCGAUGUUAACAUUGAUAUUUUAACGUCGAUAAUUUUAACAUCGGUUAAUAACCAAUGUUAAAAGUCUUUAAUAACCAAUGCAAAAAGACAUAUUUUCUAAUUGUGAAUAUUUGUUUGUCUCCUAAUAAAACUCAUAAAAAAACUCGAAAGUAUAACUUUACAUUUAGAUAAAACUAUAAUUGCUGUAGAACUUACCGAGAUACCCGUCUACAACUACCUUACCGUCAAGCUCAAAUAUGAUAUUUUGUAGACAAGUUCUUGAGCCCAAAUUAAAGCAUGCAAGAGACCUAUUGCUUUUGCCUCUCCUGGUUCAGGUAUGCCAUCGAGGAGAAGUGUUUUAACAGAAACAAAGGUACCUUGAUCUCCUCUAAUAAAGAUGCCAACCCCAAAUUUGUUGAAUUCUUUGAAGAGCAUAGCAUCGAUGCUGAGCUUUAGCGAUCCAGUGGGAGGCUUCAACCAAGAGGUAGUUUGUUGUUGUUGCAGUUGUGCGCGUUCUGGACUAGCAAUCAUUCUGAAGAAUGGGCCAUCCCAUUCCCUCCACCACUUAUUUAUUAUCCCAUAAAAGUAUUCUCUCGUAUGAAACACGAGCUCAAAACAUAAAUUUUUUUUAUUGGGUUGUACAUAAUUUGAGAGAGAAAGAAAGAGAGGCGAAAUAAUUGAUUAAUU